GGGCACAUGGUGUAGUUGGUUAUCACAUCCGCUUAGCAAUGUCCAUCUUAUCAUUGCGAUGCGGGGGGUGCUGGGUUCAAUUCCCAGUGUGUCCA
rfam:Moniliophthora roreri MCA 2997 sctg_0130_0003, whole genome shotgun sequence.